rnacentral:rRNA from 1 species
CGUAGGGGGCCUAGCGUUGUCCGGAUUUAUUGGGCGUAAAGAGCUCGUAGGCGGCACGGUUAGUCAGGUGUGAAAUCUCCACGCUCAACGUGGAGGGGUCACCUGAUACUGCCGAGCUCGAGUCCGGUAGGGGAGUGUGGAAUUCCCGGUGUAGCGGUGAAAUGCGCAGAUAUCGGGAGGAACACCCGUAGCGAAGGCGGCACUCUGGGCCGGUACUGACGCUGAGGAGCGAAAGCGUGGGGAGCAAACAGGAUUAGAUACCCUGGUAGUCCACGCCGUAAACGUUGGGCACUAGGUGUGGGACUCUAUCGACGGGUUCCGUGCCGUAGCUAACGCAUUAAGUGCCCCGCCUGGGGAGUACGGCCGCAAGGCUA